AACGGGUGAGUAAUGCAUCGGAACGUGCCCAUCGAUGGGGGAUAACUGCGCGAAAGCGUUGCUAAUACCGCAUACGACCUACGGGUGAAAGCAGGGGACCGCAAGGCCUUGCGUCGAUGGAGCGGCCGAUGCCGGAUUAGCUAGUUGGUGAGGUAAAGGCUCACCAAGGCGACGAUCCCGUAGCUGGUCUGAGAGGACGACCAGCCACACUGGGACUGAGACACGGCCCAGACUCCUACGGGAGGCAGCAGUGGGGAAUCUUGGACAAUGGGCGAAAGCCUGAUCCAGCAAUGCCGCGUGUGGGAAGAAGGCCUUCGGGUUGUAAACCACUUUUGGCGGGAAAGAAAUGGUCUGUGCUAAUACCACGGAUUGAUGACGGUACCCGCAGAAUAAGCACCGGCUAACUACGUG
rnacentral:rRNA from 1 species